CGGCGGACGGGUGAGUAACACGUGGAUAACCUACCUAUAAGACUGGGAUAACUUCGGGAAACCGGAGCUAAUACCGGGUAAUAUAUUGAACCGCAUGGUUCAAUAGUGAAAGACGGUUUUGCUGUCACUUAUAGAUGGAUCCGCGCCGCAUUAGCUAGUUGGUAAGGUAACGGCUUACCAAGGCGACGAUGCGUAGCCGACCUGAGAGGGUGAUCGGCCACACUGGAACUGAGACACGGUCCAG
rnacentral:rRNA from 1 species